rnacentral:SRP_RNA from 13 species
UCGCGAGGUCCUGUAACCCGAGCGGGGGUAAAUCUGGUGAAUGGUGCCUUGGGCGCAUUCUACCAUGAGUCGUAUGGAUUGCAUGUCCUGCGAAAGGCUUCUGUGGCCACAGGCGGCUUCCCGGAGGGGAGGACGUCUGGGGCCCUAAGGAGACCCGAACCGAGUGAGGGGGGAAACCCAGCAGCUAAAAGGGUCCUCAGUCGCCAGUUCCAGGACCGCAUGCAUGGAUG